CUCAUCACUGUUGUUACUGUUCUUCUCUUCAGAGCUCGAGCAGGGAACCAGAGACCACCUGAUGACCUCACUGUUUCUUACUCAGUAAGAAGCAGAACAG